rnacentral:tRNA from 1 species
UUUAAUAUGGCAGAAAAGUGCAAUAGAUUUAAAUCCUAUACAUAAAGUAAUAUCUUUUAUUAAUA